UACGGAGGGUGCAAGCGUUAAUCGGAAUUACUGGGCGUAAAGCGUGCGUAGGUGGUUUGUUAAGUCCGUUGUGAAAGCCCCGAGCUCAACUUGGGAAUUGCAGUGGAUACUGGCAAGCUGGAGUGCGGUAGAGGAAGGUGGAAUUCCCGGUGUAGCGGUGAAAUGCGUAGAGAUCGGGAAGAACACCCGUGGCGAAGGCGGCUCUCUGGGACGGUACUGACGCUGAGACGCGAAAGCGUGGGGAGCGAACAGG
rnacentral:rRNA from 1 species